CGUGCGCACCGGCAGGCCUCGCGCAUGCGCCUUGCGCUCGGUGAGGCUGCGGCACGGGCGGGCCACGCCCCGCUCCGGGCGCGCGGGAGGGGGCGGCGGGCCGGGCCCGGAGGGGAGAGGGGUCGGUGUUCCUCCCGGAACGGCACGGCUGGCACGUGCUGGCAUGGGGCAGGUCGCUGAGGUGGAGCUCAGAGGAGGAGCUGGGGUUACCCGCUCUCAGCUUGCAUGUGAAACUGCAGGAGUCUCCUGAACAUCCUCCUGCUUUCGCUGUGCGCGUCCGGUCGUUUUAUGCCCCAAGCUUGAGAGCCGAGGGAGCCGCGGUGUGGUUUGAUGUGUCCUGGGCCCGGGGGAAUGCUGGCCGCGUUUGCCGUGUCUUGUUGCAGGUUGGCAGCUGGAGCAGGGGGAUUCCUGGAGCAGUGGCUGCAGCGACAGAACUGAGGCAGGGUCACUGGUGUUGUGUCUUCCUUCAGUACGCCAUGGAGCAUCAUCCAAGGUCAUAUUUAUGCCUGUUUUCUAGAAGCCAAGGAAAGGUCACUUGUCAAGGUCAUCUGGUGCCGAACGAGUCUCUCCAGUCCAAAUACAUUUUUAAUUCCGUCAUUCCCUGUAAAGCAAACAAGUGGGAAUUGUUGAUGUAAGGUAGAUGUUGGGGUCGUGCCAGCACUAUAAUUACCCUGUGACAGGGUGUUAGGAUUAGGGAUAUGGGAGAUGGCAGAAAGAGCUGGCAGCCGUGGAGGACAGGAGAGGAGCUGGGCCAGGCGCUUCAGCAGUGGAUGAGGGGAAAAGCAGCGAUCAAGGUAAGGCAGUGCAGUGUAUGACACAAAGCAUGACUGGUGUGUUCUUAGUUGUAGCUCAGUAAAAUCUCAGGGCUGUCUUCAUUUUUUUUUCUUUCUUUUUGACUGCAUUGUGAUUUGGGGAAGGGAGGUUGAUUCAUAACAAACUAGUUUUUUUCCAACAAUCCAGUGAGAAAAUGACAGCAAAACUAGGCUCUAGCAUCUGUGUUUGAAACAGAAAUUAAAUCCAAGAUUAAAGACAGGUCUGAUUUUGUGAAGACGAAAACAAACAACUGAUAGGUGGAAUGUUUAGAACUGUUUAUCCGUUGUUUUAAUUCUUCUGGCAGGGAAAAAAAAAUCUGGCACGUCACUUCAUGGCUUUCAUCAGCUUAUGAGAUUGUACUACUCUGAUAAAUAUAAUCAUAAUUUGCUCUUACUAAUUUUUUUAAUAAGUGGAAAUUCAGUGUGGCUGUUGCUUACAGCACACAAGGUGCCAUAACUAAUCAAAGGGAGAAGGAAAGAUAUAAAAUUGUGAUGGAGAAAGAAUAAAUUUAGGUCCAUGAGGAGCUACAUUUGAAGGAAUGAGUUGCAUGAGUAGAAAUAGUAGAGAGCACUUUGGAAUUGCAAAGUGUAAAAAGUGGGGACAAAGGGUGCUACAGGUGUUGGAAUCAACAGAAUGUUUCUGAGAGCAUUUUUUUUGUAGUUUUGUGUGCAUGUUUAAUGGAGAAAGGAGACUGGAAGUAAAAUUAGAGAUGAAAAAGAUUCAUUACCAUCUACAGGACCUAAGGGGAUCAGGUAAAAUAAUAAACUGAGCAGUGGAUACAUUUCUCUGAUGUUCUAAGUAUUUAUAAUAACAUAAUAAUAAUAAUAAUAUAAGAUAACUGUGUCAUUUAAACUGUAAGUCACUGGCAUAUUAUGUUUUCCUGAACCCUUCUUCAUCCCCUGGAGAAAUCCCACUGUGACAGGCUCACAGAAUGGUAUGAGAAAACUAGCUGGCAAUGGUAUGUGCCUUUCUAGUUCUCUUUGGCACUGCCAAAAGGCUCAUGGAACAGCUGAGCUGUACCCCCUGCUCAUCGAGGACAUUAAUUUGACCCUUCCUUCUCUGCAUGAGUGCCAGCUCUCAGUGGAGCUGCGUGGGUGUAGUUAUCCCUCAGGCUUCUCAACUCCUAUUUCAAAAUGCCUGAUGAGUUCAGAAGUUAUCAGCGGCAGAGUCAGGGGCUGAUAUUAUCAGGGACAGAGUCAGAUGAAAAUACAGAAAGCAGUGGCAUUCUGAAAUGAGGAUACAAUUAUUGUAUGGGGAUUUUCUGAGGUGUCUGCUGCUUACCAGAAAGCGUCCAUCCCAGAACUGGAAAGCAACAGGUGGAUGAGGAGUUGUGUAUGAAGUGCUUGGCUUCUGUGCUGUGCUCGGAGGAGGAGGAGGAGAAAGGGGAGGAGGAGGGAGGAAGCCUCAGCUCCUUCUGCUUCAUUUCUGCGGACGCUGUCACACAGCUGAGCAGGCAAGCGCCUCGCAGCCAUGUUAGGUAAGGGCAGCAGGAGCCAGCUGUGUCCCUCCUUUUUCUGGGCAGGAAGUCCAUGAAAAUGUUAUGAUAGCCAUCAUAGCUGAGGGCAGAAAGAGCCCGUUCCAUGCCAUCUUGGAUAAGGGAAAGGGAGCUCUUUAAGGGACUGUCACAUUUGUCCCUUAAAGAGCUGGUGUCUGUUUCAGGAGGAUGAAAUGCAGCUGAGAUAGUUCAUGUGCAUACCUGCAAAACAUCUAGAUUUUGGCUUCUAAAACAUUCUUGAACCAAACUGUCAAAAAGUAAGGAAAUGUUUCAGAGAAGUUUUCUCCAGUGUUAAAAAAAUUUGUUCUAAUGAUCACCCCAGAUUUAGUGAAGGGUUACACAUUUUCAUUUUAGUGCUAUUCUUGUUCUUUAGUUUCAGACUUAUUUUCUGUUUGUGAUCUUUUAACUCUCUGUCUGGUUAUGUAAAGUACAAUUGCAUUAUCUUUCAGCAUUAAUUUUGAAAGAAUAAGCAAUUUUACCUGUCUAAUCCUCUCUUGUCAGGUAGGUUCUCCAUUUAUUCCAUUUUCUUUCAGAUCCUUCCCUGCUCCUAUUUUCCGGUUAAAAAAAGGAUACUUGUAUCCAGUAUAUAAAUGAGAGUCUUACCAACAUAACACUUACAUUAAUGUAAUGUAUGUAGUGAGCAUAUACUGAACGUACUAUUCAAUUUAGAUUAUGUAAUAAAUAUGAAUGUUUUAUACAAUGAUUUAAAAUCUAUUCUUUAUUAUGUGCUAUAUAUCCUGUUUAUAUAUAUAAUGUACGUUGCACAGUAUGUUGAUAAUACAUGUAUUUGGUAUAUAUACAUAAGUGUAAUGUAACGGGCAAUACAUUAAUACAAAAAUUAGCUAAUAUAUAGCUAAUUUUACAUGAAGUGGUUUUAAUUUCAAAUUAAAUCAGGCAAAUUGAAAUACCUGGCAUUUUCACUGCUUUAUCAUUUUAGCAGAACAUAGUCAUCAUGUGGCCAGCCCUUAUUUGCUUUUCUCUUCAUAUAUCAAUUUAACAGUCAAUAUUAAUUUUGACUUUUUGAAAUGUUUGAUGUUUUCUGUGGCUGUUUGAAAAACGGAAAAGAUUAUUUAAAAAUAAUAAUGGCUUUUUUUUUGGUGUGUGUGUUUAUUUGUUUUAACUGAAUGUCUUUAUUAGACCAAAUAUAAUUUUCAAAUACAAAUAAAAUACUGCCUUAAACUGAAAUCUCGAGGCGGGGGAUGGAGGGGAAGAUGAGAUGAGCAGAUGAUGUUUAUGCAGUUCUUUGGUGUUUCUCUGUGGAUGUGAGCCGUCUGCACAGUCACUCCCUGCUGAAGCUGGUGGAACCUGGCCAGCCAGCAGCCAACACCACAUUUGCUGCUACCUGAUAGAAACCAUCCUGCUAAGAGACGCAGGGCAGCGCCGCGGAGAUCGCAGCUGUGGGAGCGAGAUAGAGCAUGGAAGAAAGCAGGGCAGGCUCAAACACUGAGCAGUUGUGGAUCUUUAGAACCCAGCUGUGCCACACAGGCCUUUUCUCAUUUUUAUUCCAGCAACUGACAUCGAGGGCAUGCUUUUUCUAGCAGUCUCUCUUGUCCAAACCUUUCCAGAUAUUAACAGAUGGCUGUAUUUGUGCAAAACAAGGCAGAGUUCCUGGAGAUUUGUUAAGGGCACAUUCCAUAUGCAGAGCCCUAGUGUUUUAUGAGGCUUUAUUGUAAUUUGUAGCAAAAUGCUCUCAGGUGGUUCCCAACUCUGAAGUCUGUUUUUUGUCCCGCGUUGAUGCUUCUUGAAGAAGAGACUCAGAUGUUUCUAAAUGUUACAAUACAUGCAGAAAUAUUUUUCUUUCUCAACUGAAGGAGAUAAUCACAUUUUAUCAAAACUAAAAUGUAUUUUAAAUGGCUACGUGAAAAUCUUUCUGAAUCACUGUUUAUUGGGAAUAUCUCCAGUAGGUAAGAAUCCUUUCUUUUGUACUUUUUUUAUCAGGGAUCGUGUGUCUAUUCUCUUAACUUUCUCCUGCCAAAAGAUUAUUUGUUAAGCAUCCAAUGAAAUUAAUUUACUGUUUAAUAAAAUGUAUCACUCUUA